AGUGAACGCUGGCGGUAGGCCUAACACAUGCAAGUCGAACGGCAGCACAGUAAGAGCUUGCUCUUACGGGUGGCGAGUGGCGGACGGGUGAGGAAUACAUCGGAAUCUACUUUUUCGUGGGGGAUAACGUAGGGAAACUUACACUAAUACCGCAUACGACCUACGGGUGAAAGCAGGGGAUCUUCGGACCUUGCGCGAUUGAAUGAGCCGAUGUCGGAUUAGCUAGUUGGCGGGGUAAAGGCCCACCAAGGCGACGAUCCGUAGCUGGUCUGAGAGGAUGAUCAGCCACACUGGAACUGAGACACGGUCCAGACUCCUACGGGAGGCAGCAGUGGGGAAUAUUGGACAAUGGGCGCAAGCCUGAUCCAGCCAUACCGCGUGGGUGAAGAAGGCCUUCGGGUUGUAAAGCCCUUUUGUUGGGAAAGAAAAGCAGCAGGUUAAUACCCCGCUGUCCUGACGGUACCCAAAGAAUAAGCACCGGCUAACUUCGUG
rnacentral:rRNA from 1 species